rnacentral:misc_RNA from 1 species
GUUCCUUUCUGAUUCCUUCUCCCAUUUCUGUCUAUCGAGAGUGAGCAAAUCCAAAAAUCCGAAUUCCGGAAAUCAGAAACAAAAUGGAGUCUUUUGAAUCCAACUGGAUCAACGAAGAUCACCAAAUCAACAACACUCACGCCGCCAGUAACACAGAUCACGGCUGGCAAAAGGUCACCUACACCAAGCGCAACCGGAAGCAGAAGCCAGCGGACUCUGCCUCCGCUGCGAAUGCUGGUAAAGUCAAUGGAACCGCCAUCCCCAACGAAAAGUCUAACGUCUUCCGCUCCUUGGAGCA